GAUGAACGCUGGCGGCGUGCCUAAUACAUGCAAGUCGUGCGGCAGCGAGCCCUUCGGGGUGUCGGCGAGCGGCGGACGGCUGAGUAACACGUAGGAACAUACCCCAAAGUGAGGGAUAACUGCUCGAAAGAGUAGCUAAUACCGCAUGUGGUCUAAGGAUUAAAGCUUCGGCGCUUUGGGAAUGGCCUGCGUUCGAUUAGCUAGAUGGUGAGGUAAAGGCUCACCAUGGCGACGAUCGAUAGCUGGUCUGAGAGGAUGAUCAGCCAGACUGGGACUGAGACACGGCCCAGACUCCUACGGGAGGCAGCAGUAGGGAAUUUUCCACAAUGGGCGAAAGCCUGAUGGAGCAACGCCGCGUGCAGGAUGAAUGCCUUAGGGUUGUAAACUGCUUUUAUAUGUGACGAUUAUGACGGUAGCAUAUGAAUAAGGAUCGGCUAACUCCGUGCCAGCCGCCGCCGUAA
rnacentral:rRNA from 1 species